rnacentral:rRNA from 1 species
GACGAACGCUGGCGGCGUGCUUAACACAUGCAAGUCGAACGGAAAGGCCCUGCUUGUGUGGGGUGCUCGAGUGGCGAACGGGUGAGUAACACGUGAGUAACCUGCCCUUGACUUUGGGAUAACUUCAGGAAACUGGGGCUAAUACCGGAUAGGAGAUCCUGCUGCAGGGUGGGGGUUGGAAAGUUUGGGCGGUUGGGGAUGGACUCGCGGCUUAUCAGCUUGUUGGUGGGGUAGUGGCUUACCAAGGCAUUGACGGGUAGCCGGCCUGAGAGGGUGACCGGCCACAUUGGGACUGAGAUACGGCCCAGACUCCUACGGGAGGCAGCAGUGGGGAGUAUUGCACAAUGGGCGGAAGCCUGAUGCAGCAACGCCGCGUGCGGGAUGACGGCCUUCGGGUUGUAAACCGCUUUCGCCUGUGACGAAGCGUGAGUGACGGUAAUGGGUAAAGAAGCACCGGCUAACUACGUG